UGGAAAGCUUCAGCUGCGCGGCGUCUGAGGGCUUCGUGCCCAAAGUGCUAUGCUUCGGCCGGCAAAAAACAGUCAACUCAGAGCUGGCACGGACCGGGUGAAUCCGACUGUCUAAUUAAAACAAAGCAUUGCGAUGGCCGCUGGUCGGUGUUGACGCAAUGUGAUUUCUGCCCAGUGCUCUGAAUGUCAACGUGAAGAGAUUCAUCAAAGCGCGGGUAAACGGCGGGAGUAACUAUGACUCUCUUGUCAGGUGGCCGCUGCGCCCAGCCUAACCCAUCCUGCGAGGGCUCAUGAUGCACUGUCUGAGCUGGUUUCCGAAAGGACUCCCACCGGAGUUAAUGACGAUGGGGGCAGAGUGGAGCUUGCCCAGAGACAGAACGGAACGGGGAAAUGGAAAAGAACUGGCGCGAACCCCAAGGGGGUUCCGAAGACGUCAGAUUCCAAUCAAGAUAGAGGAUACUGGGCCAAAAGCCCUACGGAGACUGCGGAUGGAUCGCAGAGCAGUACGAACGGCACAGAAAACAGUUCUGAUGUGCCAGUCUGGGGCGGUGAUCCACUUGGGAUAAGCGUUGCCCAAGACGGCGCCAAAGGUGGUGAAGGGGUCAGCACGGUGGGUGAGGACAGUGAUGGGAACGUUGGGCGCGACCUAAACCACCACAAUGUCCGCGCCGCUGGUGCAUGCUGGCUCCGGAGCAAUUCCCGAGGGUUCGCCGGAAAACUCAGAGUGGGAGUAACACGGCAAGCUGCUGCACAUGCUAGGAGCUGCAAGAGAGUGGCCGCUGCGCCCAGCUUAACCCAUCUGGGAGGGCCUCACGAUGCAUUGCCUACGUUGCUA
rnacentral:ncRNA from 1 species